UACGGGGGGAGCAAGCGUUGUUCGGAUUUACUGGGCGUAAAGGGCGCGUAGGCGGUCGUGACAAGUCACUUGUGAAAUCUCCGGGCUUAACUCGGAACGGUCAAGUGAUACUGUCGGACUAGAGUACAGAAGGGGCAACCGGAAUUCUCGGUGUAGCGGUGAAAUGCGUAGAUAUCGAGAGGAACACCUGCGGCGAAGGCGGGUUGCUGGGCCGACACUGACGCUGAGGCGCGAAAGCCAGGGGAGCGAACGGG
rnacentral:rRNA from 1 species